rnacentral:rRNA from 1 species
UGGGGAAUAUUGGACAAUGGGCGGAAGCCUGAUCCAGCCAUGCCGCGUGUGUGAAGAAGGCCUUUUGGUUGUAAAGCACUUUAAGUGGGGAGGAAAAGCUUAUGGUUAAUACCCAUAAGCCCUGACGUUACCCACAGAAUAAGCACCGGCUAACUCUGUGCCAGCAGCCGCGGUAAUACAGAGGGUGCAAGCGUUAAUCGGAAUUACUGGGCGUAAAGCGCGCGUAGGUGGUUAUUUAAGUCAGAUGUGAAAGCCCCGGGCUUAACCUGGGAACUGCAUCUGAUACUGGAUAACUAGAGUAGGUGAGAGGGGAGUAGAAUUCCAGGUGUAGCGGUGAAAUGCGUAGAGAUCUGGAGGAAUACCGAUGGCGAAGGCAGCUCCCUGGCAUCAUACUGACACUGAGGUGCGAAAGCGUGGGUAGCAAACAGGAUUAGAUACCCUGGUAGUCCACGCCGUAAACGAUGUCUACCAGUCGUUGGGUCUUUUAAAGACUUAGUGACGCAGUUAACGCAAUAAGUAGACCGCCUGGGGAGUACGGCCGCAAGGUUA